GGAGGCCGGGCCACCCGGGCAGCCGCGGCUGUGGCCGCGCGGGCCGGGGAGGAGACGCAGCGCGCGGCGGCGCUGGAGGGGCGACGAGGGCGGUAUAGCUGCCCUGGAGGGGCCGGCCCUCGGGUGUGACAGUCCCUGCCUGGGAAAGCGAAGGAUGGCGGAGUCGAGACCCGUUCCCGGAGCUUCAAGGGGGCAGGGAGGGAGUAAGGCAAGCAUAUCUGAUGAAAGAAAGGAUGAACACAUGAAAGGAUGGAUGAAGGAAGGAACAAACAAGCAUUUACUGAAUGACGAUCAUACAUCACCUUGAUUAUUUAAGGUACUCUCAUUUUCUUGGGUCUUCAGUCUCUGAAGAAGUAAUACAGGAAAUAGCCACACCUUCAGAAGGAUGAUCUUCAAUGGCAACAAUUCUCAGCAAGUGGAGUGGCUCUGUUCCCAUCUACCUGGAAGGAUUUGUACAGUGAUCCAACAGUCUCUUGAUACCUUCAGCGUCAGCAAGGGAGACAUUGGCAGCCUCCCAUUUUCUCCUUGACUUCAGCCAAUUCCCUUGUCGAGCCAGCUAAAGCAAAAGCAUCUUCAUGAGCAUAAUCCCAUGUCUGAGACUCUUACAGUUUCUCCACAGAUUCAUUCAUUCCUCAUUCCCACAGAAACAAUUUCAACUCUUGGCAGGAACAUAAAUACAAAACUUGUGUGGCAUAGAACAUCCAACUCAAUUCUUUUGCCUGGGAAACUCCUUGUUUCACCAGUAACCUCUUAGAGGAAGGCUCGUCAUGUGAUGUGAUUAUGAAAACUCAGUCUUAUGCUAAGGAGACUUCAUCAAGGACUCAGCUACAUGAUUUAUCUGACUCGUCUCUUUCUGAGCUGCCUAAAAUUGUAGCCGUGUUUGGGUUACCUGAAAGUAUGGGCUCAAAGACUAUAAUGUGUUUUCGUAGCUACUGGUACUCAGGCAUAGAACAUUUAGCUUUCAGCAAAUCCUCAAGCACUAGCAAAACUUUGCCAGGCAAUACAUGUUUAACCUGGAUGCUAACUGAAAUAGUGAUGUCACCCACAUACCUCCAAAACCUUAUUGAUAACAAGAUAUGCGACUCUUUCUGACAUUAAUAAGAUACAAGGUAAGAUUAUGGUAGUUGCUUAGUUUCCUGUUUGCUAUAUUUUUCAGUGAGUCUUUAACUAGCAAGCAGUAACCAACUAAUGUUGGUUAAAAUAUUAAGAUUAAAAUAGAGUGUUAAGAUUAAAAUAGAGUGCCUAAUGUUAACUGUGGUGAAAUUAUGAGUGCUUGAUAUUCUUCUCUAUAUAUUUUCCGUAUUUUCCAAUAUUUCUACAAGGAACAUAGAGAUUUUCAGGAGAAAAAAAUUUUAAGAAUAUAUUAUGUAAGAAAAGUCAACAACAAAAUACAGUAUUCAUCUCAUGCCCUACACACCUUAAAUACAAUAUUAAGAUUUAUCAAAGAUUCACAGACCUGAAGGAACUUCAAACCAUCACUUACACCAUGCUCUGUCUAGUUAUUAUUAUUCCUCAGUUAUCUCAGAAAGACGCUAAUCAUAUGUUGUAACCUUAUGGUCCGCCACAGUUAGAAAAAUGCUUCAUCUUGCAUUGAUUUCUAGCUUCUUUGAGAUUUAAAUGUCUUAUUUGAAAUUAAAGCCCUGGUUUAUCACUAUAUCUCUUUUCAAUUAUACAACUUUUAUGUCCUGAACUUUAAAAUUUCCCCAUUGAGCUUUUAACCACACAUACACACACACACACACAAUUAGUUUAGGAAUUUGGGCCCACUGCCAAAAUUUUGUUUUUCUGAAGCCUCCUAACCCAGACUUGGUCACUUGAUACUAUCAAUGAACUAAUUUCAAGAUCUUCUUCCAUAUUAUAAUUUAAGGCUGAAAGGACUAGGAAAUUUGGAAACUAACAACUUCCAUGAAUAUGUAGAUACAGCAUCAGGGCUAUAGUGCAAAAUCUACCAGCUGAUGGUAAGAGGGAAGAUGAAGAAGGGAGGAGGAGAGAGAAAGGGAAGAGAGAGGAAGGAAACAGAAGAGGAAGGGCAGACAGGGCUUAAGACGGAUGAGCCUGACCCUUGAGUAGAUGGAAGAAGGGUCCCCAAACCAAAGGCUAAAAACACAGAUGAAAGAAGUCAGUCUUUUUCACUUCUCUCUAGAGCUACUUAUGUGGUACCCAAAUACAAGAUGGCCUACUAAGGCAUACAUAUAUCUAUUGAGUAUCAAUAGAUGCUUUCCCACUUUCCUAUGCAAAUCAGGGCAAAAAGUGAACAUAGGAGAAAGAAGUAGACCAUCAAGACUACUUUAAACACUUAAAAAAAGAGUGGUGUUUAUUGAAACUUGUUUCUUGUUUGUUCUUUCUAAGUCAAUCCAACACAUUUCCAACAUUUGUUAAUCUAAUUCAAUUGAUAACAGCAACUAUUGGGCACAGACUUAAUUUCCCAAUCCUCCUUGAUACAUUUUAUGAUCAGGAAGAUAACAACUCAACUCAUUUGAUGCUUGCAAUAAAAUCAGUAAAUGAAUAUCAUUCAGGCCCAGAGAGCUGGCUGUAAUUUAAAGCAACUCAUCAAAUACUGUGUGGAUAUCCCAUAGAACUGGAUUUUCAAUAUUCCCCUCAGGAAAUUAUUCUUUGUGCUGAUUCUGGAGGCCCAGCUGUUCAGAUGCUUUUGACCAUUGAACUGAAGCUGCCCAGAAGUACACCCUGCCACACUUACACUCUGUGCACAAAAACAGUUUCAUCACAUUGAUAAAGAAGGGAGAGAAAUGGGGGCCGGCCCUGUGGC